GAACGCACAUUGCGCCCGCCAGUAUUCUGGCGGGCAUGCCUGUUCGAGCGUCAUUUCAACCAUCAAGCCCCAGGCUUGUGUUGGGGACCUGCGGCUGCCGCAGGCCCUGAAAACCAGUGGCGGGCUCGCUGUCACACCGGGCGUAGUAGAUUUUAUCUCGCUCAGGGCGUGCUGCGGGUUCCGGCCGUUAAAAAGCCUUUUUUACCCAAGGUUGACCUCGGAUCAGGUAGGAAUACCCGCUGAACUUAAG
rnacentral:misc_RNA from 1 species